AGGGUUUGAUCCUGGCUCAGGAUGAACGCUAGCGGCAGGCUUAACACAUGCAAGUCGAGGGGUAACAGAGAGUGCUUGCACUUUGCUGACGACCGGCGCACGGGUGCGUAACGCGUAUGCAAUUUACCUUCUACAGGGGGAUAGUCAAUAGAAAUGUUGAAUAAUACCCCAUACGAUCUUCAAGAGGCAUUACUUGAAGAAGAAAGCUCCGGCGGUAGAAGAUGGGCAUGCGUCCUAUUAGUUAGUUGGUGAGGUAACGGCUCACCAAGACCACGAUAGGUAGGGGCCCUGAGAGGGGGAUCCCCCACACUGGUACUGAGACACGGACCAGACUCCUACGGGAGGCAGCAGUGAGGAAUAUUGGACAGUGGAGGCAACUCUGAUCCAGCCAUGCCGCGUGCAGGAAGACUGCCCUAUGGGUUGUAAACUGCUUUUAUACAGGAAGAAACCUACUUACGUGUAAGUAGCUGACGGUACUGUAAGAAUAAGGAUCGGCUAACUCCGUGCCAGCCGCCGCGGUAAUUC
rnacentral:rRNA from 1 species